rnacentral:rRNA from 1 species
UGCAAGUUCGAAGCGGUCGAAGAGGUGCUUGCAUCUCUUGAGAGCGGCGGACGGGUGAGUAAUGCCUAGGAAUCUGCCUGGUAGUGGGGGAUAACGUUCGGAAACGGACGCUAAUACCGCAUACGUCCUACGGGAGAAAGCAGGGGACCUUCGGGCCUUGCGCUAUCAGAUGAGCCUAGGUCGGAUUAGCUAGUUGGUGAGGUAAUGGCUCACCAAGGCGACGAUCCGUAACUGGUCUGAGAGGAUGAUCAGUCACACUGGAACUGAGACACGGUCCAGACUCCUACGGGAGGCAGCAGUGGGGAAUAUUGGACAAUGGGCGAAAGCCUGAUCCAGCCAUGCCGCGUGUGUGAAGAAGGUCUUCGGAUUGUAAAGCACUUUAAGUUGGGAGGAAGGGUACUUACCUAAUACGUGAGUAUUUUGACGUUACCGACAGAAUAAGCACCGGCUAACUCUGUGCCAGCAGCCGCGGUAAUACAGAGGGUGCAAGCGUUAAUCGGAAUUACUGGGCGUAAAGCGCGCGUAGGUGGUUCGUUAAGUUGAAUGUGAAAUCCCCGGGCUCAACCUGGGAACUGCAUCCAAAACUGGCGAGCUAGAGUAUUGUAGAGGGUGGUGGAAUUUCCUGUGUAGCGGUGGAAUGCGUAGAUAUAGGAAGGAACACCAGUGGCGAAGGCGACCACCUGGGACUGAUACUGACACUGAGGUGCGAAAGCGUGGGGGAGCAAACAGGAUUAGAUACCCUUGUAGUCCACGCCGUAAACGAUGUCC